rnacentral:piRNA from 1 species
UGCAUGGUUGCUGCCACGCAUGGAAC